UGGGGAAUUUUGGACAAUUGGGCGAAAGCCUGAUCCAGCAAUGCCGCGUGUGUGAAGAAGGCCUUCGGGUUGUAAAGCACUUUUGUCCGGAAAGAAAUCCUUGGCUCUAAUACAGUCGGGGGAUGACGGUACCGGAAGAAUAAGCACCGGCUAACUACGUGCCAGCAGCCGCGGUAAUACGUAGGGUGCAAGCGUUAAUCGGAAUUACUGGGCGUAAAGCGUGCGCAGGCGGUUUGCUAAGACCGAUGUGAAAUCCCCGGGCUCAACCUGGGAACUGCAUUGGUGACUGGCAGGCUAGAGUAUGGCAGAGGGGGGUAGAAUUCCACGUGUAGCAGUGAAAUGCGUAGAGAUGUGGAGGAAUACCGAUGGCGAAGGCAGCCCCCUGGGCCAAUACUGACGCUCAUGCACGAAAGCGUGGGGAGCAAACAGGAUUUAGAUACCCUGGUAGUCCACGCCCUAAAACGAUGUCAACUAGUUGUUGGGGAUUCAUUUUCCUUAGUAACGUAGCUAACGCGUGAAGUUGACCGCCUGGGGAGUACGGUCGCAAGAUUAAAACUCAAAUGAAUUGACGGGGUCAUAGCUGUUU
rnacentral:rRNA from 1 species